rnacentral:rRNA from 1 species
AUUGAACGCUGGCGGCAGGCCUAACACAUGCAAGUCGAGCGGUAGCACAGAGAGCUUGCUCUCGGGUGACGAGCGGCGGACGGGUGAGUAAUGUCUGGGAAACUGCCUGAUGGAGGGGGAUAACUACUGGAAACGGUAGCUAAUACCGCAUAAUGUCGCAAGACCAAAGUGUGGGACCUUCGGGCCUCAUGCCAUCAGAUGUGCCCAGAUGGGAUUAGCUAGUAGGUGGGGUAACGGCUCACCUAGGCGACGAUCCCUAGCUGGUCUGAGAGGAUGACCAGCCACACUGGAACUGAGACACGGUCCAGACUCCUACGGGAGGCAGCAGUGGGGAAUAUUGCACAAUGGGCGCAAGCCUGAUGCAGCCAUGCCGCGUGUGUGAAGAAGGCCUUCGGGUUGUAAAGCACUUUCAGCGGGGAGGAAGGCGGUGAGGUUAAUAACCUCAUCGAUUGACGUUACCCGCAGAAGAAGCACCGGCUAACUCCGUGCCAGCCGCCGCCGUAA